CGGAUAGUACCUCCCGCGGAAGCAUCCAAUAACAUUUGAGUUUGACUCUUUAGACCUUUGAUGAAGUUUUGCAUCUACUCAAUAUUAUUCAUGUUGUGAUUCAGGCAUCUUCGCAACAAAAGUUUGAAUCUUUCCUAAGCGUCAUAAAGUGACUCAAUUUCCUGUUGCUCAAAAUUAACAACUUAUGCUCGACGCUCGGUAAACUAAGUAGUAGUAAAAAAU
rnacentral:lncRNA from 1 species